rnacentral:lncRNA from 1 species
AAGACAGAAAGAGCGAGAGCGUGUCGGCCCCUGCAGCGGACGCCUGGACCCCCGCCUCCCCGCCCUGUCCUCCGCGGCCUUCUGUUGUUCUCUUGGCAGUGUGACUCGUCUGAAUUGUUUGUUCAGGCCAACUUUAAGAGAGGCGUCAGCUGCGGAUGGCAGAGAAGGAGCUUUGUAAGCAGUCAGUUUGUCUGGAGUGGCAGCUGUCGUGUGAAGACCAGCUCGUGCAAAGACCUGCGCGACUCCAACCAGCAGACGCGGCCAUGGACUCCUCUUGUUCUCCUGCAAGCUCCUUCAUGCCAACACCUUUCAAGAUCCUGGAAGCUUGCACAGAAGCUGACUCCUGGAGUUCCUCAUGGAUCUGAGCAGAGUCCCCUCCUUGCCAGGGAUUUCAAUCAAGCUACAUUUUGUCUCAAAACUGCUGCCUCUAAAAAAUCUAUUACAUGCU